CCUACGGGAGGCUGCAGUGGGGAAUAUUGGACAAUGGGCGAAAGCCUGAUCCAGCCAUGCCGCGUGUGUGAAGAAGGCCUUCGGGUUGUAAAGCACUUUCAGUGGGGAAGAAAGCCUUGGGGCUAAUACCCUCGAGGAAGGACAUCACCCACAGAAGAAGCACCGGCUAACUCCGUGCCAGCAGCCGCGGUAAUACGGAGGGUGCGAGCGUUAAUCGGAAUUACUGGGCGUAAAGCGCGCGUAGGCGGUCUGAUAAGCCGGUUGUGAAAGCCCCGGGCUCAACCUGGGAACGGCAUCCGGAACUGUCAGGCUAGAGUGCAGGAGAGGAAGGUAGAAUUCCCGGUGUAGCGGUGAAAUGCGUAGAGAUCGGGAGGAAUACCAGAGGCGAAGGCGGCCUUCUGGACUGACACUGACGCUGAGGUGCGAAAGCGUGGGUAGCAAACAGGAUUAGAUACCCGAGUAGUC
rnacentral:rRNA from 1 species